rnacentral:tRNA from 1 species
AGAGGGGUAGUUUUACAAUACCUAGGUUACGUCUAGGAGAGCCAGAAUACCUGGCCCCUCUU